AAGUCGUAACAAGGUCUCCGUAGGUGAACCUGCGGAGGGAUCAUUAACAAAUACGGAUAGAGGGGAGGAGCGAGAAGGGAGAACGCUCGUUCUUGUUUCUCUCCUUUUUCUAAAACUGCGUUUGCUGUUCAAGCAAGUUGGCUUGAAUGGCAUUUCGUGUCGAGUGUGUUUCUAGCACUCGAAAUCUUUACAUACACAUUUCAUUUUCAACCACACCUUUCAACACCAAGAAAUCAAACAACUUUUAACAAUGGAUCUCUUGGCUCUU
rnacentral:misc_RNA from 1 species